GGCCGACUAGCUCAGUUGGUUAGAGCGUGGUGCUAAUAACGCCAAGGUCGUCGGUUCGCUCCCGGCGUUGGCCA
rnacentral:tRNA from 1 species